rnacentral:rRNA from 1 species
CGGAUGCUCCGACUCCUCGCAUGGGGUGUCGGGAAAGAUUCAUCGGUAUGGGAUGGGGUCGCGUCCUAUCAGGUAGUCGGCGGGGUAACGGCCCACCGAGCCUACGACGGGUAGCCGGCCUGAGAGGGCGACCGGCCACACUGGGAUUGAGAUACGGCCCAGACUCCUACGGGAGGCAGCAGUGGGGAAUAUUGCACAAUGGGCGCAAGCCUGAUGCAGCGACGCCGCGUGCGGGAUGACGGCCUUCGGGUUGUAAACCGCUUUUGAUCGGGAGCAAGCCUUCGGGUGAGUGUACCUUUCGAAUAAGCACCGGCUAACUACGUGCCAGCAGCCGCGGUAAUACGUAGGGUGCAAGCGUUAUCCGGAAUUAUUGGGCGUAAAGGGCUCGUAGGCGGUUCGUCGCGUCCGGUGUGAAAGUCCAUCGCUUAACGGUGGAUCYGCGCCGGGUACGG